rnacentral:rRNA from 1 species
UACGGAGGAUGCGAGCGUUAUCCGGAUUUAUUGGGUUUAAAGGGUGCGCAGGCGGAGGUGCAAGUCAGUGGUCAAAUUGCGGGGCUCAACCCCGUACUGCCGUUGAAACUGGCUGUCUUGAGAUGUCGAGAGGUAUGCGGAAUGCGCAGUGUAGCGGUGAAAUGCUUAGAUAUUGCGCAGAACUCCGAUUGCGAAGGCAGCAUACCGGCGGCGAUCUGACGCUGAGGCACGAAAGCGUGGGUAUCGAACAGG